ACCGGCGGCUCGAGUGGUGGCCACUAUUACUGGGCUUAAAGCGUUCGUAGCUGGCUUGUUAAGUCUCUGGGGAAAUCUUCCGGCUCAACCGGAAGGCGUCUCAGGGAUACUGGCAGGCUAGGGACCGGAAGAGGUGAGAGGAACCCCAGGGGUAGGAGUGAAAUGCGGAGAUACUAGGAGGAACACCAGUGGCGAAGGCGUCUCACCGGGACGGCACCGACAGUGAGGAACGAAAGCUGGGGGAGCAAACCG
rnacentral:rRNA from 1 species